rnacentral:rRNA from 1 species
GCAGUCGCCGCGGUAAUACGAAGGGUGCAAGCGUUAAUCGGAAUUACUGGGCGUAAAGCGUGCGUAGGCGGUGAGUUAAGUCUGCUGUGAAAUCCCCGGGCUCAACCUGGGAAUGGCAGUGGAUACUGGCUCGCUAGAGUGUGUCAGAAGAUGGUGGAAUUCCCGGUGUAGCGGUGAAAUGCGUAGAGAUCGGGAGGAACAUCAGUGGCGAAGGCGGCCAUCUGGGACAACACUGACGCUGAGGCACGAAAGCGUGGGGAGCAAACAGGAUUAGAUACCCAGUAGUCCCUGUCUCUUAUACA